rnacentral:rRNA from 1 species
AACGAACGCUGGCGGCAGGCCUAACACAUGCAAGUCGAACGGACCUUUCGGGGUUAGUGGCGGACGGGUGAGUAACACGUGGGAACGUGCCUUUAGGUUCGGAAUAGCUCCUGGAAACGGGUGGUAAUGCCGAAUGUGCCCUUAGGGGGAAAGAUUUAUCGCCUUUAGAGCGGCCCGCGUCUGAUUAGCUAGUUGGUGAGGUAAUGGCUCACCAAGGCUACGAGCAGUAGCUGGUCUGAGAGGAUGACCAGCCACAUUGGGACUGAUACACGGCCCAAACUCCUACGGGAGGCAGCAGUGGGGAAUCUUGCGCAAUGGGCGAAAGCCUGACGCAGCCAUGCCGCGUGGAUGAUGAAGGUCUUAGGAUUGUAAAAUCCUUUCACCGGUGAAGAUAAUGACUGUAGCCGGAGAAGAAGCCCCGGCUAACUUCGUGCCAGCCGCCGCCGUAA